GGAUAGUAGAGGAUAGGAAAGGUAGCAGAACCCGACAGUCACUAGUAUGGCAAUAUGUAAAUCAAUGGAUGUGUAAUUGAUGUGAUUCUGCAAUCUGUAUAUGGGCUAAAAAUGGGAGUUCAUAACCCACUUGAAGCAAAGUGUGAAAGAUGAUAUAUCAAAAACUAUGUAAUGUUUUGAACAGCCAACAAUAAAAAAAAAAAAAAAAAGGCUGAGGCCUGGGCACAGUGGUAUACGCCUGUAAUCCCAGUGGCUUUGGAGGCUGAGGCAGGAGGAUCUAGAGUUCAAAGCCAGCCUAGGCAACAGCGAGGCACUAAGCAACUCAGUGAGACUCCGUGUCUAAAUAAAAUACAAAAUGUAAUAGGGGAUGUGGCUCAGUGGUUGAGUGCCCCUGAGUUAAUUCCUGGUAUCUCUCCCGAAAAAAGGGAUGUAGCCUAGGGGUAAAGUGCCCCUGUGUUUGAUUCCCAGUAUCACCAAAACAAAACAAAAAGUUGUUCUAUCAGUUGACAAUUUUGUUGUUUCAGUCCUGGGUAUCAAACCCAGGGUGUUUUACUACUGAGCUCCAUUACCAGCUUUAUUUUUUCUGUCCUUCCUUUCCUUCCUCCAUUCCUUCCCUUCCUUUCCUCCUUCCUUUUCUUGGUAAAUUGCUGAGGCUGACCUCUAACUUGCGAUCCUCCUGUCUCAGCCUCGUGAAUUGGUGGUAUUACAGGCUUGAACCACUGUGCCUGGCACCUUUUUAUUUUAUUUAUUAUUUUUCUUUGCUACCAGGGGAUGAAACCAGAGGGGCUUACCACUAAGACAUAUCCCCACCCCACCCCCUUUUUAAAAUAUUAAUUUUAGUUGUAGAUGGACACAAGACCUUUAUUUUAUUUACUUGUUUUUUUAAUGUAGUGCUAAGGAUUGAACCCACUGCCUCACACAUGCUAGGCAAGUGCUCUACCAAUGAGCUUCAACCCCAGCUGUCCCCACCCCUUUUUAUCUUGAGACAGGGCCUCAAUAAGUUGCUGAUGCUGGCUCUGAACAUGUGAUCCUCCUUCCUUAGCCUCCUGAGCUGCUUGGAUUAUAGACAUGCGUCACUGCAUUUGGCACUGGUUCUUUAUUUAUGCUUCUUUUAUGGCAUAUGUGAAUUUUUCCUGGUAAAAGAAGAAACUGGGCAUAAUCUUUUUAAGACUAUGUCUCAUUCAUUUUAUAGUCUCUAGAGUACAUCAACCCACAUAGCAUAUAAAUAAACCAGUGUUUUUGAGUAUAUAGCUUAGCUCCACUCAAUAAGAGGAGUACAAUUUAAACAACAGAAUUGAUCAAAGUAUUUCAAAAUACUCUUUCUACUUGGCAUGGUGAGAAAAACACAGUAAGCUGAGAAGCAAGAGGAAUCUGGGUUCAAAGCCAGCCUCAGCAUCUGAGAUCCUAAGCAAUUUACUGAGACCCUUUCUCAAAAAAUAAAAAGGGAUGGGAUGUGGCCCAUUGGUUUUGCACCCCUGGGUUUAAUCCUUGGUAACACACAACAACAACAACAACAAAAAAAAACCCUCCUUUUUUCUAAGAAAUUAAUAAGAGAUUAACAUUAAAAUAAUAGUACCAAGAGGUCACACAUUCAUUCAAUUGGCUGGAUCAAAGAAACAGGUUUGUUAUUAAUAUUAUCUGAAGGUAUUUUAUUUGGAUUAAGAUUGAAGAGAACAAAAGGAUUAGGAGGGUUGGGGUUGUAGCCCAGUGGUAGAACGCUUGCCUAGCACAUGUGAGGCACUGGGUUCCAUUCUCAGCACCGCAUAUAAAUAAAUUAAAUAAAGGUCCAGGACUGAGGAUGUGGCUCAAGCGGUAACAUGCUCACCUGGCAUGCGCGGGGUGCUGGGUUUGAUCCUCAGCACCACAUAAAAAUAAAAAAUAAAGAUGUUGUGUCCACUGAAAACUAAAAAAUAAAUAUUAAUAAAUAAAUAAAGGUCCAUAAACAACUUAAAAAAUUUUUUUAUAAAGGAUUAGGAUAAGAUGAUGUUUGAUUUCCUAUGUUAUAAUAGUGUACGUACAAUAAAUUACAUUUAAAAAAAGAUUUGAGGCAUAAUUGCCUAAUGGUAAGAAAAAUAUAUAAUGGGGAGAUGCCACUGCCUCAGAUGCCACUAAGGUUCCUGGAUGUGAAUUCCGACCCUACUUCCAUGGUCGCUGCCACUGAACCAGAAGUCUCCUGUCAAUCAACCAUUGCCUGCACCACUACUGCCAUUGCUGCUGCUUCUGAUUCUGCUGUUGCCAGCCUAAGGUCACUUGGAGGUCUUCUUUCUGGGUUCUGCUGCCACAGAAGAAACCGCUGCCCUGAAUGCAACUGAAGCUGACACUGCUGAUGACCCCCAGAGAUUGCCUGGUGACACUCCCCCACAGCUGCAGUUGUAGCUGCCACUGCAGCCACUACUGCUGACUUGCUGCCUGCUGCCAACAACCACCACCACUACAGCUGCAGCCAUAGCCUAGAGGACUGCUUCGGGGGAGACUCCAGGUUUGGUUGUACUUAGCUGCACCCAUUUUGGGACACCAGCCAGGGCCUGGGCCCUGGCUGCCAGCAGGUUUACCAGCACAUGAGCCUCUGUCUGGGGACUCCAGCUAGGACCUACAGGUUCAGUGUGGGGGUACCUGGUGGCACUUCUGCUGCUGCAUCUUGGGGUUGCUCCUUUGCAUGAGUAUAUACCCUGGUGGUCUCUCUGCAAGUAGGAGCAGCAUUGAGAUCUUGGGACUGCAGCAUGGCCAAGCCUGAGGUAUCUGAAGCUCAGAUCAGUGGGAUAGAGACUGGGUUUGCAAGGACUGAUCGCGGUUUGGUGAUCCCGAGAGACGUCAGAGACAGGACUGAGAAACUGUUGUUCCAGCAAGAUUUCUUUUAUUUUUUGAUUCACUUAUCUCCCUACCAUAUUUGGAACAGAAUUUUUUAAAAAAUAUUUUUUAGUUGUCAAUGGAUCUUUAUUUAUAUGUGAUACUGAGAAUCAAACCCAGUGCCUCAUAUAUGCUAGGCAAGCACUCUACCACUGAACCACAACCCCAACCCUUGAUUACUUUUUUUUAAUCUGGUACCUCACAUGUGUGAAGCAGGCACUGUGCCACUGAGCCAAACCCCAGUCCUGGAACAGGAUGUUUUUAUGUAUCACUGUAUGGAGGACCGCGAUAUAUGAAUGGUGUUUUGCAUUUUUGUUGUAUUCUUGUGUCUUUAAUUUUUUCUCUUUGUUCGUAUUCUUCCUCUCUCGUCUAUUUUCUUUCCAACUUUUCUCCAACCAACAACCAAUCUGUCGACUUCUCUUCCACUCUUACUGUGAAUUUUUUACUUCUAGUUUCUCUCUUCCUCCCUCGCAAAUAUUGCAUACUACACUACCUCUAUUCUCUCAUCCACAUUUGAAAUUGUAAAUCAUUUUAACAAAUAUUCUGUUUGUACUAUAGAUAGUUAUGGAACUCAUAAUUUUGGUUUAAUGCGAGAAAGCAGUAGACGCCUUAGUGGGAGCUAUUAGGCUUUAGGCUGUAUAUUGUGUACAGUGGGUGCUGUUGAUAUUGGUCUCACCAGUAAAGGUGAAGUGCAGAAAACCUUCAAGGACACUAUAGGUAAACAGGGCAGAAUUUAUCCUGCCUUAGAUCCAAAAUUUUAGAUGGGAAAACACACUAAUAACAUGAAAAAACAAGGGAAUGAAGCACUCCAAACAAACCAAGAUGUUUCAACAGAAGUCACUGAUAACACAACAGAAGAAAUGUCCAAGAAGGAGUUCAGAUUGUAUAUAGUUAAAUUGAUAUGUGAAGUAUAGUAUAAGGAGUGGAAUCAAAGAAAAAAUACAGGAAGUGAAAGACCACUUCAAUAAAGAGAUUAUGAAAAAACCAAGCAGAAAUCAUCUAAAUGAAGGAAUCAGUAAAUCAAACUAUAAAUUUAAUAGAAAGCAUUACCAACAGCCUAGACCACUUGGAAGACAGAACCUCAUACAAUGAAGACAAAAUAUAUAAUCUUGAAAGUAGAGUUGAACAUGCAGAGAAGCUAUUAAGAAACCAUGAACAGAAUAUCCAAGAAUUAUGGGAUAACAUGAAAAGACCAAAUUUAAGAGUUAUCAGAAUAGAUGAAGGAGCAGAGAUACAAACCAAAAAAUGCAUAAUCUUUUCAAUGAUACAAUAGCAGAAAAUUUCCCAAACCUAAAGAAUGGAAUGCAAAAUCAAAUACAAGAGGCUUAUAGGACCUCAAAUGUACAAAAAUACAACAGACCCACACCAAGACACAUAAUAAUGAUAAUGAAUAACACACAGAAUAAAGAUAAAUUCUUAAAGGCUGUGAGAGAAAAAAAUCAAAUUACAUAUAGGGGGAAACCAAUUUGGAUUUCAAAUGAUUUCUCAACCUAGACCCUCAAAGGUAGGAGGUCCUGGAAUAAUAUAUUUCAAGCUCUGAAAGAAAAUGGAUGCCAACCAAUAAUUUUUUUAAUAUUUAGUUUUUAGUUGUAGUUGGACACAAUAUCUUUAUUUAUUUAUUUACAUGUAGUGCUGAGGAUUGAACCCAGGGCCUCACAUGUGCUGGGUGAGUGCUGUACCAUUAAGCCACAACCCCAGUCUCCAACCAAGAAUUUUAUAUACAGCAAAAUUAUUUCAGAUUUGAAGGUGAAAUUAAAACAUUCCAUGAUAAAAAUUAAAAGAAUUAACAACUAGAAAGCCUACACUAUAGAGCAUUCUCAACAAAAUAUUUCAUAAGGAUGAAGUGAAAACCAGCAACAGGAGAUCUACAUUAAAGGGACAUUCCACCAAAUGAGAAAUUGAGACAAAUCAAAAACCAAAAAUAAAUAAAAAUGACAGGGAAUACAAAUCAUAUCUCAAUAAUAAUCUUGAAUGUUAAUGGCCUAAACUCAUCAAUCAAAAGAUACAGACUGGGGCUGGGGAUGUGGCUCAAGCGGUAGCGCGCUCGCCUGGCAUGCGUGUGGCCCGGGUUCGAUCCUCAGCACCACAUACAAACUAAGAUGUUGUGUCCGCCAAAAGCUAAAAAAUAAAUAUUAAAAAAUUCUCUCACUCUCUCUUAAAAAAAAAAAAAAAGAUACAAAAUGGCAGACUGGAUUAGAAAGCAAGACCCCAAUAUGCUGUCUUCAAGAGACUCACCUCAUGGGCAAAGAUAUCCACAGCUGAAGGUGAAAGGAUGGGAAAGAACUUAUUACUCAUAUGGAUUGCGUAAACAAGUAGGAGUUUCCAUUCCCAUUUCAGAUAAAGUAGACUUCAAACCAAAGUUAAUCAGAAGAGACAAAGAAAGACAUUUCAUGCUUCUUAAGGGAAGUAUAUAUAAUUAGGACAUAACAAUUAUAAAUAUUUAUGCCCCAAACAAUGGCACGUUUGUGUACAUCAAACAAACCCUUCUCAAUUUCAAGAGUCAAAUAGACAACAAUACAAUAAUACUGGGUUAUUUUAACACAUCUCUCUGACUACUGAAAAGAUCUUCCAAACAAAAACUAAAUAAGGAAACUAUAGAACUAAAUAAAACAAUAAUUCAGGCUUAACAACAUAUAUAGAAUAUUUCAUCCAUCAAUAAGCAAGUAUACUUCCUUCUCAGCAGCACAUGGCUUUUCUCUAAAAUAGACCAUAUCUUUUUUUUAACUUUUUAAAAAAAUAUUCAAUUUUUAGUUGUAGUUGGACACAAUACCUUUAUUUUAUUUAUUUAUUUUUU
rnacentral:lncRNA from 1 species